AGCAGCCGCGGUAAUUCCAGCUCCAAUAGCGUAUAUUAAAGUUGUUGCAGUUAAAAAGCUCGUAGUUGAAUUUCGGGGUCAGUAGGUCGGUCGUGCCACUGGUAUGUACUGACCUAACUGAUUCCUCCCUCUUGAUGAACUGUAAUGUCAUUAAUUUGGUGUUGCAGGGAAUCAGGACUGUUACUUUGGAAAAAUUAGAGUGUUUAAAGCAGGCUAACGCUUGAAUACAUUAGCAUGGAAUAAUGAAAUAGGACGACGAUCCUAUUUUGUUGGUUUCUAGGAUUGACGUAAUGAUUAAUAGGGAUAGUUGGGGGCAUUAGUAUUCAAUUGUCAGAGGUGAAAUUCUUGGAUUUAUUGAAGACUGACUACUGCGAAAGCAUUUGCCAAGGAUGUUCUCAUUAAUCAAGAACGAAAGUUAGGGGAUCGAAGACGAUCAGAUACCGUCGUAGUCUUAACCAUAAACUAUGCCGACUAGGGAUCGGAUGAUGUUAAUUUUAUAAUGA
rnacentral:rRNA from 1 species